AUAUAUAUCUUCUCCAUUCUACAGGAUGAAUUUCCCUUCAGACUCUGUUCUUUGUGCUAAAACACAUCUCCAACAAAGUCAAAAGGAGAAUUCCAACUUUCAAUCCCACCAGGAAAAAGAAUAGACUCAAGAAAAGCUAUGUUGACUUCUUGUGAACUUUAGCACUUUUCACCUGACAAAUUGUUACGUCUUGCAGCCUGAUUUCUUCCCUCCUUUUGAAAUACAUUUCAAAAUUUAAGAAAAUAAUUUGUUUUUAUUUCAUUGUAAGAGAAGAACCUUUUCUUUUUACAUUCUCUGGUGAAUUCAGUUUGUACUAACUGCAUUUUAAUUAGCAGCUCUCUGCUUCAAAACAUAUGUUUCUUCAGAUUGUUGACAUUAAGAGACAAUAAUAUCAAGUUUGACACAUCCCAGUCUGUAGCCUUGAAAAAAAGAAAAAGAAAAAAAGCUAUUGUAUCACUUGUGGAGGAUUAUACACCUAAAAAUAGUCAAGUUGAAAAGACUUGUCAAGAAAAUGAUAUUUAAUUGAUACACUGACAUGAUACACUGGAAAAAAGCAUCUCAAUUAUAAAUAGGUUCAAAACACAGUAUUACUGUUACCUUCUUUCAGCAAGAAAGUUAAUCUUUAAAAUAUAUCUCAACUCAUUGAAAGGCUACUAUGGCUGUGACCUAUUCCGAUGACAGUUCAAUCUAGAAGGAAUGUAUUUAAGUUUAAGUAAACCAUUUACCUGCCACUGCAAUGGACUAAAUCAGCAAAUUAUGGUGGGGAGUAACUUCCUGGAGAAUGAACUGUAAUUCUCUGAAUUGCAUUAACUUCAUGCUUCUAUCCGUGCAAGUACAAUUCUCAUUAUAAAAGUGGUCAAAAUACAAUUCAUUUUCUAGCAUCAAAUGCAUAGAUUUAAUGUCUCACAUUACUCUUCUUCAUAUAAGUCAAAUUCUAAGACCCUUUGAAUUCUCUAAAUUAGUAGGUGGGCAGUGUUUUCAGAGCAUGUGCACCAUUGCCACUGGAGGACAGCUACUGACACUGCAUUUUCACUGCCACACUAUUAACCCUAUGAUUCAAAACCAGCAGGAUUGAAGGCUAACACAUGGACACCGA
rnacentral:lncRNA from 1 species